CUGCCCUUAGCUCAACCGGAUAGAGCAAUGGCCUUCUAAGCCAUAGGUUAGGGGUUCGAUUCCCUUAGGGCAGGCCA
rnacentral:tRNA from 9 species